ACCUUUCUUGGCUUUCCAUCAUUCAGUUCACUCAUUCCCUGAACUUCAGAGAACACAACCAGAUCGCCAUCCUGAAAUUAAAGCCUCUCAUCAUCCACACAAGCCACGAGCAGAUUUAUCAUUGCUGAUAGAGGCGAUUAUGCCUGUAUGUGGGUCCUCACCAUCAACAUCAAGCACUGUAAACUCAGGUCCAAAGUCGCAAAACACACUACCAAAAAGGCCCCGUAC
rnacentral:misc_RNA from 1 species